rnacentral:lncRNA from 1 species
AUAAAAUUAGUUCUAAUUCAAUUUCAAUGCUUUCUUAAUGAUUACUGUAUGUAGUUGUUCAAUUUAUGCAAAAUCAUAUUACUGAUCAAUUUAAGGAAUAAUUUUAUAGUUAUCAAGUAUAUUUUAUAUAUGAUCAAUGAGAUAUGAUUUUCAAAUCAUCAAGGUAAUCAAUUCUGUUAUAAAAUAAUAAUUCUUACUUUAAACAUGUUUAAUUUGGUUAUUUUAUUUUAUUGCAGGGGUUUUGUUGUUAAGUCAAGUCCAAAGAACAAAUUAUUCUACAGAGCCUUAUAUAACAGACAAUUACAUUAAGAUAUUACAAUGCUGAUAUAUACAUUUUUUUAGAUUGAAAUCCUUUUCUUUAACACUAGAUAAUAUCUUUUUCAUUUUGAUUACAAUUGCUAAAAAUUAAAAACACACCAAAAGACAUCACAAAUUGAUGACAAACUUCAUAAUCCAUUCAUGCUUUUUACAUAUUUUUUUUUAUGUAGAUUGACAUUACAAUGCUUCUAUUUCUUCAUUUUGCUCAGAUCUCAUGUUGUUUCCAGUUUGAAAAAAACACCAUAUAUUUCACAUUUAAAUUUAUGUUUAUUUCAAAUGAGAGGUUAAAUCCUUGAGAAAAAAUGCCAGUACUAAAUAUCCAGUUACUGAUUUUGUGCACAAUGAGAUGAGCAUUUCCUAUUACAAAAAAUACUCCUAUUCAUGAUUGGGAGGUUCAAGCGUUGCUGUCCAAAACUGGCUAAUUUAAACUGGCAUAGCACAUGGUCAUGAUAAUGAUUAUCUAAAAUUAAAGUGAAAUCAAACAUACAAUUUGUGUGUUUUGUGCACACAAAUAUUCAGAAGAGAAUACGUAAGUCAAAUGUCUGAAAUAUUGGUUUUGCAAUGAAGUUAGACGUGUUUAAAUAUUUUUUUGAAUAUCAGAAGGAAGCAAAUGUUCCAAAUCUAUGUAAGAGAAACUGCACUUCUCAACUUCUUUAUGUAUAUCAUGUGACUUUUUUUUGUGUCAUUGUGGAAAUUUUUAAUAACAUUUCCGAUAUGUUCAUUUGAAGUGGUCCCAAUAAAAUGUAAUAUUUCUAUGAGUUGUAUAUAUAUAUAAUGUAUCAUCUCACGGCACCAAAGAACUGUCCCAUUUCUAAGAUAAUGUAAAUAAGAAUUUUAUGAUAUAUAUAUUUAUUUAUUAAACCUGUUAUGGCAUGGAUAUAGUAUACUAAAUUAUUUGUUUUUAUUUUCUUGCAUUUUCACAAACGCUUUUGAGCAGUACCUCAGAACUUAUGAUUUGUCUUUCAAGCCAUGAUCUCUGUAACACAUAGUACACAUUGUAAAUAUCAACUAUGAACCAUAACUCUUGUAAUCUAAAAAAACAACAUAUGAUGUAUGCAAAAUAUCCACUUAUUAUCAUGCUUGUAACUCCGAUAGAUUAACAUGUGUACUUCUGUUACAUAGUAUUUUCUUUACGCCAUAAAUGUAGAUUGAUUCACAACACAAAUUUUAGGCUUUCAAGAGGGAAAAAAAAGGUUCUGAACUUUAUUUCCACCUUUGGUAAAUUAACAACAAUUAUAGUUAGUUUAGUGACAGAUGUAUUUAAUAAGUGCUUAAUAUACUUUAUAGGGACACAUUUAUGUCCUAUCAUUGUGUGUAAAUUAUUUCAUUGUUUUAUUUUUACUUAUCAUAUAUCCAUGAAAUGGCUCUGUGUUUAAACUCACUAUUUAUUUUUUGAAUUAAUUGUAGAAACACUUACACAUACUAGACAAGUCUUUUUAUAGAUUUUCCGCACUGAUUCUGACAGGAAAACAAUAGUUUUUCACGAAUAAAGUAUUGAUUAUUCUAAAAUAUCCUUAUUAUUUUAUUGUGAAAAGUACAUGCAAUAAGAAUCUUGGAUGCUAUGGAAAAAUAUUUAAAAAAUUCUAUAUUUGUUUGGUUUUCACUUUUAUGAACAAUAUUGAUGAUAAAAAUAUAGAAAACAGACUAUAUGUCCAGUUUCUAUUUGUUAGUGAUUGUUCUGUGAACUUAUAAAAUGAUUAACAUUUUUCCUAUUAUUUCUUGCUAUCUAUUAUAAAAUUUACUUGACACUAUAUCAUAUAAAUGUAUUUCUUUGUAAUUUUUGUUAACCUGAAAAUCUAAACUAUGAUAAAUCCAGCUCCAAUGUUUCAUUUGGAGCUAAAAGUAAUGUAUUGCAUAUCACAUUUCAUUGUACAUUUAUAGUUGUAUAAAGUAUAUAUUACAAUUUCAGGUGUGAUAGUUUUAUGGAAUGAUAUUUCUAGGGAUUAAUUUUUCAACUUACAAUAUAAUUGAUUUUUAAUGGUUAAAUCUAUGAACCAAACCACAAUAAAGGUUCCAUUUUAAGAAUAAAGUGACAAAACAGGUAUCAUUACCAACCUUCUUUCCUUUCAAACUUAUUUUCAAAAUAUAUCUAUUGUAUUCAUUAAUUUGUUCAGACACUAAAUAUCCAUGAAAUAUUUGCCACUGGAUGUUUAUGCUGCAAUAAUAAAUCAAUGAAUCCUUGAAACUACAUGUGAAGUUUCUUCCAGUACUGUCAAUCAGUAAAUUUUAUUUAUUGCUGCAAACAGUUGUGUGAAAAAGUUACAAAUGUGAAAAAAACAUGACAUUCAGCAAAACAAAUAUGUAAAAGGCAAGGUAGAAACCGACGAAGCAAAUUUUUUAGCAGGACAUUACGAAAUAUCUUGUGACAAAAAUUAACUGCUUUACUGCAUUGAUAUUUUUAUAUCUUAAAUAGUCCCUUGUAAGGCUGUUAUUAUCUUUGUUUUGAAGUGAUUCACAAAUUAGUCGUAUAACAAUGACCGCCAAACAUACAGAAUAUGUUAGAUAGUUUUUGUUAAAAAUUCUGUAUUUGUACGUAGUGCUCAUGAGGUGAAAAAUACACCUAGUUUUGUUGUGAAAUAAAAACAAAAUGUUUGA